rnacentral:misc_RNA from 1 species
UUUCCGUAAGUGAACCUGCGGAAGGAUCAUUAUUGUAUAACCGAGGUGCGAGGGCUGUCGCUGACCCGAAAGGUCAUGCACGCCCGAGUGCCCUCACACACAUCCAUCUCACCCCUAUGUGCACCACCGCGUGGGUCCCCCUUUGGCUUGUUCGGAGGGGGGCUUACGUUUUCACACAAACUUUGUAUGCAGUGUAGAAUGUAUUUUUUGUUUUUGCGAUCACGCAAUCAAUACAACUUUCAACAACGGAUCUCUUGGCUCUC